rnacentral:rRNA from 1 species
CCUACGGGUGGCAGCAGUGAGGAAUAUUGGUCAAUGGGCGCGAGCCUGAACCAGCCAAGUAGCGUGAAGGAUGACUGCCCUACGGGUUGUAAACUUCUUUUAUAAAGGAAUAAAGUGAGGCACGUGUGCCUUUUUGUAUGUAGUUUAUGAAUAAGGAUCGGCUAACUCCGUGCCAGCAGCCGCGGUAAUACGGAGGAUCCGAUCGUUAUCCGGAUUUCUUGGGUUUAAAGGGAGCGUAGAUGGGUUGUUAAGUCAGUUGUGAAAGUUUGCGGCUCAACCGUAAAAUUGCAAUUGUUACUGGCAGCCUUGAGUACAGUUGAGGUAGGCGGAUUUCAUGGUGUAGCGGUG